rnacentral:lncRNA from 10 species
CCCCUGCCCCUUCCAAGCCUAUCGGGGUGGGGUCCGUUGGACCUUCUCUGACUUCAGGAUCCCAGAUUCUUAGGAAGGACCUUGGAGAUCAGCUGGACCAGCCCCUGACUUGCCUGGUUUCGGAAGCGGAAACCCAGCGGUGCCCUUAGCUGUCAAGGAUGCUGUGGGAAGAGUGGAGCCUCGAACCCGAGACGCUAGACCCAAUUUGGUGCCCAUGGGAGGAGUGGGAGUGGCAGAGGCAGCGAGACCACUCCUUUCUUGGCCCACCAUUUCUCUCACCAUUUUUACUGCAGUGAACUCCUCUCAGGGUGGGGGGCUGGUACAGAGGCAACUCCGCUUUCAUAACUCUCACAGGGUCCUUUGUCGGAGGUGUCCCUGCCCUCCUACCCCAGCGUGGUGGGAGUGCGACGCCAGGCUUCUCCCUCCUCCCUGGCCUCCUGUGCCUCCAGCCUCCACAUCUCCUGAGAUCCUCCCCACCCCACACUUACACAGGUCCCCACACGCCCCUGGUGCCCCUAAACCGCCACCCAACCCCACUCACCCUGGGGCCGGGACUGGGGUGUCAGAGCUGAGCCAGGGACCUUGGGAGGUGGCUGGGACCGGCGCCUCCUGCUCCCUCUUUCAUUUUCCCUUUCGGAUUUGGCCAGGAUGGAGGACAGGACAGGAUGGCUGAGAGGGGCUAGCGCUCCCCCUUCUCUUAAAGGAACAGGGUGACCCUGCUGGCUGGCUCCGCCCUUGGGAACAGGCACGGACCACGCCCCUUGCUGGGCUCUGUGGCCCUCACUCUUUAGCUAAAUUUCCAUCUGGAAAUGGGGGAGGGGGGUAACCAGAGCCACAUCCUUUAUCGAGGAAGCUGGGGGAUUCCUAGAAGCCCUUCCCAGACAGACCCUCAGUCUGGAGCCUAGAUCCACUACGCACUAACCAUGCCCUGUGAAGAUGGUCUUCGGGGACAGAGGGAGGUUUGGUGCUGGAGUUUAAGGGGCAGCAAACAUCUAACAGCUUCUGGUUCCAGCUCUGCCACCGCUCACCUUGGACAAAUCAUUCGGCGGUACUGAGCCAGGCUUUCCUGCCUUGUCAACAAAGGCGGCCAGUCCAGCUGACCCCCAAGUUUCCUUCCAGCUUUACAUCUUUUUUGGAACGGGGUCUCUCUACAUAGCCCAGGUCGAUCUUGAACUCCUGGCUUCAAGUGAUCCUCACACCUUAGCCUCCUGAGUAGCUGGGAUUCUCUACUUCUUAAUAUUGAAUUCCCAACCAUAUUACAGAGAACCAAAAAAACCCUUGUGCCUGCAAAAAAAAAA